rnacentral:lncRNA from 1 species
GUGGGUAGCAGUCAUCGGCAGAGAAAACAUGAUGUAUUUGUCACCUAUGGCUGUCCUGUGCCCUGGAGAUUGGAUUCAAUGAGAUUCAAAUCCCGGUUCUCUGCCCUCAAUGGUGGUUCAGUGCUUGUACCACCCCGUGCCAGGUCCUGGGCAAGUGUUUUCACUCGUCCCUCUUUCUCUUGGUCCUUGUGUUUCCAAGAGCUGCCUUGGGACUGGCUCAUGUCAGUCUGUGCAGGAAGCUCAGCCCGUUUACCACUUUCCACAGGAAAAUCUGCCCCCAAGCACAUCAUGAGUUUAGGACCAUUACUGAUGAUUGGUGAGGGCACAGGAAGCUACUGCACCACAAACCAUUGUCUUCUCCUACCUUGCCGGUCUAUCUGGACCUCCCUGGCCUUCCUCUGCCUUCUCCUUUCUCUGGAAGUUGCUCCUUUUCUUCUAUGAGAGCGUGCCAUCCUUGCAUAUUCAGGUCCCCAUGGGGACUCACUUCCCCCCAACAAAUACAUUUGCCUUCCUAAGGAGAGUUCUGAUGAAUACAAUGUUCUACAUAUACAUAACUGUAUCCAUUUGUGUUUUGCAGAGCAUUGAAAUCAUAUAGCAGCAUCAUCCAGACCUGCAGAAUCAUACGUGAUCAUAGCCAGUUCACACUGAAAAAAGCCUUGUAGGAGAUUCGCCAACCUAAUCAUUCAGCUUACAGGUGCCUGAAACAAAGAAAAGAAAUGCAGAUAAUUGGAUCUUCAUGACAUUUUCCCAACUGGCCACUUUCCCUGUAACAAGACCAAGCCUGUCUCUUCCAUUGUACUCUCGUGAGCUACCUGGGUCAGAACCUGAAAUCUUGGCGCAGAAGUCCUGUGGCCUGCCUAUAAACUUCUCAUUCCCGGCAGCUGGCACAUGCAUGGCCCAAUAAAUAUUUCUUGAUUGAAUGGAAGGAGCUGUGAAUAGUGGCCUCCUCAAGCAAAGGACAUUUUAUCUCCCAAAGGGAAAUCUACUUUGUUGAUAUGAAAGUGAGCUUCUUAAUAGGUCUACGGGGCAACAUUUUGCUAACCCCAUUCAAAUUAUAACAGACUUCAAAGUCAUAAAGGCAGUAAUAUGCUUCCUUUUAAGUGUGUAAUUUGUAUUUUUUUACACCCAGGAAUGGAAAACAGGGAGUGAAAUAUCCCCCAAUUAUUAUUUUGUGCUUUUGAGGCAGGAUGGCCCACUCACCUGUGGGGACUCUGGUGGCCAAGCACCUCCCACCUCAUUCUUGGCAAUUGUUUUCAUCUGCCUCCCUUCACACUGGCCCUAGCUCAGGUCUGGAAUCUUCCCAGGGUCUGACCUCUGAGUGUCUGUCUCAUGCAAUUCUGCUGCCCUGGUAUUGACUCUCAGGACACAGAAGUAUACUCUCUGCCACAUUCAUGACCACCCUGGGUGACGUGUCAAGGCAUCUUAGUGCAGCCCUGAGUCCCUUGGAGGGAAAUGGCCCCAGUCUGCUUCCUGUUUGAGGUAGCUCUGUUCUGGAUCACUUGGUCCUCCCCUCUCCCUCCUGCCACUGCUGAUUGCAUUGUGGUGAUCACCCCAAGGUCAUCCCAAAGGCAGGCUGCCGUGUAGAGCCUGGCUUGGCACAGGAGGCCCCAGCCAAUGAUCUCUGAUGCUGACCUCAUGCUCCAGGUGCCUGAAACAAAGAAAAGAAAUGCAGAUAAUUGGAUCUUCAUGACAAUUUCCCAACUGGCCACUUUCCCUGUAACAAGACCAAGCCUGUCUCUUCCAUAUGGGUCAGCCAUAUCCCACCCACUCCUCCUGGGAUUUGACUUGGGGAAUGUGGACAGAAUCACACAGUCAGUAGAAGUUGGAAAGUAGGCGGAAGUGGCCACAUGGGGUAGGGACAUAUCAGAGUUAUGAUGAAUCAGAAGCAGAAGCCCCAAGUUGAAGAAGAGAUACAAAGCUUGGAAGCAGGAAGAGAUGGAGCGGACACACAAAGGAAUCCAACACUGGAGAACGGCAACGUAAAGGUGGCGUGCUAGGGGAAAGCUCCAGAAUUCCUGCAGCUGGGCGCUGGAGCCACCCUGAACUUUCAAAGACCUCCCUAUUCCAGUCUCCACAAUCCCAGGUCCUGGUAUGUCCCUGGAUUUGGGGGGAGAUUCUGGCUCCUUUGUAGCACCACAAUAAACCCUUAUUGCCUGAGUUAUCCCAAGUGACUCCCUGUUCUUUAUGGGCUCACAAGCCAACACACC